rnacentral:lncRNA from 1 species
GUUAACCUGCUGAGCAAUUAAAUUGAUGGGGCGUUUAAAUGUCUCUGUGAUUCAAUUAGUCCACUGUGUUCAACAUAAUAGUUUAAAAUUUUGAUUUGAGAUUAGUUCAUCAAUUUUCUUAACCCUUGCUUAAAAUAAGGGGCAUUUGGGGAGUUCAGUUUUAAGAAUUUUAUGGGAAUACAUAGCAUUGCAUUUUGCAGUUGAGUUAUACCUCAUUUCUACUUUAUUUCUGUGAAUAUUUACCCAUCCAAAUUACACUGCUAAGUCAUAUGCUUGAGUGUUAUAAACUUGCUGCCUGAUUUUCAUUUCUGUUGGAUGUUAAAACACCAACUAAAUCAACAAAGAAAUUAUUUUUUGUAGUUCUUUUUUUUUU